GGUUGUGGCUCAGCGGUAGAGCGCUCGCCUAGCAUGCUCGAGGCCCUGGGUUCGAUCCUCAACACCA
rnacentral:tRNA from 1 species